rnacentral:rRNA from 1 species
UACGUAGGGCGCAAGCGUUGUCCGGAAUUAUUGGGCGUAAAGAGCUCGUAGGCGGCUUGUCACGUCGGGUGUGAAAGCCCGGGGCUUAACCCCGGGUCUGCAUUCGAUACGGGCUGGCUGGAGUGUGGUAGGGGAGAUCGGAAUUCCUGGUGUAGCGGUGAAAUGCGCAGAUAUCAGGAGGAACACCGGUGGCGAAGGCGGCUCACUGGCCCGGUACUGACGCUGAGGUGCGAAAGCGUGGGGAGCAAACAGG